CAGCAGCCGCCGCGGGAAUACGAAGGGUGCAAGCGUUACUCGGAAUUACUGGGCGUAAAGCGUGCGUAGGUGGUGGUUUAAGUCCGUUGUGAAAGCCCUGGGCUCAACCUGGGAAUUGCAGUGGAUACUGGGUCACUAGAGUGUGGUAGAGGAUAGUGGAAUUUCCGGUGUAGCAGUGAAAUGCGUAGAGAUCGGAAGGAACAUCUGUGGCGAAGGCGACUAUCUGGCCUAAUACUGACGCUGAGGUACGAAAGCAUGGGGAGCAAACAGGAUUAGAUACCCGCGUAGUCCCUGUCUCUUAUAA
rnacentral:rRNA from 1 species